UGAAUUUUGAGCUGAGCUAUCAUUUCCUGUGUAUAAUAUUGCCUGAAAAUUAUUCCCCACUAUUAGAUAAUUGAACAAAGUUAAUGGAAUUUUGGCAUCCACAUCUUCUUUGAUGACAUGGAGUUUAUGAUACUCUUCUUUCCAGGGAUCAAACAAUCUUAUUGCAAGCUUGCUAGAAGAUUUAGCAAAUUGUUCCAAAUUGUCCAAGCUAGAUAUGGAGGGAAACAAGUUAACAGAGAUAUCUGAAAAUCUCUUUUCAUCAUGGACCAUGCUUACUGAAUUCAAUGCAUCAAAAAACUUGUUGAAUGGCAUACCAGACAGCAUUGGAGGCCUUUCACGUCUAAUUCAUCUUGAUCUCCACCAGAACAAUGAGCUCUUUCAUGUUAUUCACAUAUUCUUAGAAGUUAAACAGAUUAAUAUGGAAUUAGAAUGCUUACAUUGGUACCUAGCUAGAACAUUCGGAACCAGUAUAAGCAGAAAUUAAGAGAACAGUUAGAUACUCUGGCAUAUUUGAUCAAAGAAUGAUGCAGACUCGAGCAUGCCACCAAGUGAUGGAUGAAGCAGAAAAGGAGUACAAGAAGUUUUCCGAACGGAUCACUGAAAGCCGUGAGGCAAUGAAGGUUAUUUGAAGCUUGGCAUAGUAAAAUACCUCUACUUGUUGAAGUUGUAAAGUCCUUGCUAGAGGAGCCGAGUUAAGGUGUUCGGAAAGCACCUUCUGAGUUAAUUGUGGUUAUGGCUUCACAUUGUUACUUGGUUGGUUCAUCUGGAGAGUUGUUCAUUGAGUAUCUUGUACGGCACUGUGCUUUAACUGAUAAUAAUCGUGGUGAUCUUGUCAUCCUGAAAAGAGAGUGGAGGAAAAAUUUCUCCCCAAUCCUUGCUUCUCAAUAAACAAGUGCCACUUGUGUACAAUGAUAAGACCAUGAUUGAAACCAAAAUUUACUUUCUUAAAUGCCAUCUUAGCUUGGUGAUGAUCAUGCCAGAAACUUAUAUUGUUGUGCCAUGAUUCAAUUUAUAAAAGG